UUGAAAGUCGUUCCCGAUUUACAUUAUCGGAUCAGGAUAGGGUAGGGCAGGGCCAUUUCGGUAUAACCAUUCUGUCCCCUGUCCUGUCCCGAUAGUGAGAAUCGGUACUGAAUCGAAAUUAUGAACGACUGUUUAUUCAU